GACGCACGCUGGCGGCGUGCUUAACACAUGCAAGUCGAGCGGAGCGGCGCACGGGUGAGUAACGCGUGAGUAACUGCCCCCCUCUCUGGGAUAACAGUUGGAAACGGCUGCUAAUACCGGAUAGUGGGGGAUGACUCUCGUCCUGUCAGCUUGUUGGUUGGGUAGUGGCCUACCAGGGCGACGAGGGGUAGCCGGCCUGAGAGGGCGACCGGCCACAUUGGGCUGAGAUACGGCCCGAACUCGUACGGGAGGCAGCAGUGGGGAAUAUUGCACGAUGGGGGAAACCCUGAUGCAGCAACGCGCGUGCGGGAUGACGGCCUUCGGGUUGUAAACCGCUUUCAGCCAUGACGCGGUAGGGGCAGAAGAAGCACCGGCUAACUACGUGCCAGCAGCCGCGGUAAUUC
rnacentral:rRNA from 1 species